rnacentral:rRNA from 1 species
AUUGAACGCUGGCGGCAGGCCUAACACAUGCAAGUCGAGCGGAGCGGCGGACGGGCGAGUAAUGCCUAGGAAUCUGCCUGGCAGUGGGGGAUAACGUACGGAAACGGGCGCUAAUACCGCACACUAUCAGAUGGGACAAGGUCGGAGUAGCUAGUGGGUGGGGUAAGGGCCCACCAAGGCGACGAUCCGUAACUGGUCUGAGAGGAUGAUCAGUCACACUGGAACUGAGACACGGUCCAGACUCCUACGGGAGGCAGCAGUGGGGAAUAUUGCACAAUGGGCGAAAGCCUGAUGCAGCCAUGCCGCGUGUGUGAAGAAGGUCUUCGGAUUGUAAAGCACUUUAAGUUGGGAGGCGUUACCAACAGAAUAAGCACCGGCUAACUUCGUGCCAGCAGCCGCGGUAAUUC